UGGGGCUCAUUAGGCAGAGUGGGGUGCCGAGAGGUGCGCAGCGCCGCCCCGGAGGCCGCCUUUGAGCCGUCGGGGCAGCUUCAUUAAGCGGCGCUAACCAGGCAUACAAAUGCCGGGCCUAGCAGCUUUCUUGCAAUGCCGGGGCCUUAGCAGGGCGCCAAGCUAAUGAGGGUCACUCAAAGGGGCUGAUCAAAUAUUCAAAUUUCCCUGCACGCCAGGAACUUUUAUGUGAGGAGAAAGUUGAGGCAACUGAGCUGUGUUUACUGUCCCC
rnacentral:lncRNA from 1 species